AUGGGUCUAAUUGCGGGGAGUUUAUUUACUGGGGUUAUUUUAACCUCCAUAAAAUUACAUGAAAUGCGAGCAUUAAAAAUCUAUUGCCAAAAUUUAUAAAUUUAUGGGGUUUUAACCCUCUUUAUCCAUAAAAAAAAAUAGCGGUAAGUAUUGGCAUAAAAAAACACUUUCCCUCUUUUUUUAAUUGGCCAAUAAUUUUCCCCCAAAAUAUUUUUUCUCUGAUUUUCUCCAAAACCCCCAAAUCGAUUGACAACUUUUACCAAAAUCUUAUUCAUUUCAGCGGGAGUGCAUUUGCUAGAAGAUCUCAACCACAAGUUCGAUCUGGGGCUUAGUCCCGCAGUCCUACUAAGCAGUAGAUCAUUACCAGAUGUUUGAAGUUGGUGAGCCUCCCUUAUUUCAGAAGGCCUUAUUUCAUAUGAUACUUUCAUUGGGGUUUUAGUUUAUGGUCCGACCGAGGGAUUUGUCCCUGUUUCAUACAGAUGUUGUUUUUUGUUUAUUAGAGAUUUUGCAGACUUAUGUUAGAUAGUUUUGGGUCUUUAUGAAUUCAUAACCAUAUCGUUUAGUUGAAAUAAUAAGAUGACCAUGAUUCCAGUUUACUUUCGUAUUUUGAAUUUUUGGUGAAUUAUGCUUAUAAUUGCAAGUUAUGAGGGCUCUCAGGCCUUGAAGGUUCAGGAUGCCUUUUUGUCCAGAGCCUCAGUUCGGGGCAUGACACGAACCUAAACAUCAAAUAUCAAACCUACGACGUCGACCACAAUUUCCAUUUUGUCUCAAACCCAAUUAUUUUUCUAAGGCGUUUUGGUGAUGGGCUUGACUAGUCGUUGUUGUUUCUGGUAAGAAUCGACAUGAACCAGAUUUAUUCUUCUUUUUUGACAGAGAUGAGUCAUUUUCUGGUGGAAUUAGCACUAAAGGAUCAAUUUUGGUAUGUGAUGAUUGCUAAUAGUGUUUUAGGUGGGUUUGGUCACUGGUUUUGCUGCCUGUGGAGUUCAUCGGUGACUGUUGUCGCAUAUCGAAGGAUUUGGCCAUAUUUCUACUAUUUCUGCAUAGUGACUAGGAUUCAGGAGCAGUUCGUGAGUUGAACUGAAGUGUUGAGCUUCCAUACAUAGAAAGUGUACAUUUCAUGUUUGGUCUCUUAUGUCUCAGACUUAUUUUUUGCUAUAGUCAGGGGCAUGUCCCGACACUUUAUUGGUAUUCGAUUUUGCUAUAUGCUUUGUUGGAUACUGUGGACAUGGGUAUGGUGGUUGUCUUUUGGUAUUAGUUUUGAUACUAUGGAAGUUUCGGAUAUUGAUUUUAUAUAGAAUUUUGAGUUUAUCAUUCA